rnacentral:misc_RNA from 1 species
CCCAUUUGCUAUAAAAGUCAACAAGAGCUGUGUUUGCUACAAUAUCAGAUCCAAAACCAUGACGAACAAGAGCAGCAUGGGCUUGCUUAGCAUAAUCCAAAGAAGCUAAUCUUGCACAUAUUCUCACUAUUAUAGAAAAUGUGAAAUGGUCCAUUCUAACACCGGAAUCACGCAUAUCAUAGUACAUGUCCAAAGCUUCUUCACUGUAGCCAUGAAGCGCAUAACCUGCAAUGAUAGUAUUCCACCCCACUGUAGUUUUCUCUGGCAUUUCAUCAAAGACAUAAUGAGCAUCUUCAAUGCUCCCACACUUGCUAUACAUAUCAAUCAGAGCACAAGAAACAAAUAUAUCAUCCCCAACUCCCAUCUUCAAAGUGCACGAAUGUAACUGUUUCCCUGCAGAAAUCAAUCCCAACCCAGCAGACGCCUGGAUCAUGGUGGCA